UUGAUGUACUUGAAAAGUGAAUUUCUUACAAAUAUCCUAGACAACCCACACAAUGUGCCACUCUCCCAGUAGACAUACAAUGUGCCACCCACAAUAUAUAUUCACACUUUUAGAGAGAGAGAGAGAGAGACAGAAAGAGAGAGGGAGAAUUGGAGUUUUGGUGGGUCUAACACCAUUCAAGACCAAAAGGAAUUGUGAAGAAGACAAGUUAGAAUUCAAGCCCCAAAACUUUCACCAUAUCAUACGCGUCAA
rnacentral:lncRNA from 1 species